AUUCUUAUUUAUAAUAACAUAGUUUCGCAACUCUCAUACACCUAACAAAACAUUCCGGAUCGCCCGCAUGCAUUUUAAAAGUUGCAACAUGCUGUUAAUAGAAGUAGACCAUAAAGCCAGAAAGAUAUUUUUACUUUAUCGCAAAUUCCGUCACCAAUUGAAAAUACAUGCAUGUGUAAUGGAGAUAUGAGUUUUUGGAGCUCACAAUCAUUCUGUAUGUGUCUAAGCCUAAGAUAAUUGGUUGGUGGGACUUACAGGGUUACAACUUUCAACUCCACCGGAUCCAAAGAAAUACUCUCUGUUGUAGACUACGAUAGAUGUGUGCCAAAUGCCAUCAAUCCUUUUUCCUAAUAAAAUUGGAAAAGGGUUUAAAAACUUUGUUAACCUACAAAUGGAUGUUUCGAGUCAUUUUGAAUUAAAACCUUGCUUACCUAUUAACAUCGGGGAUAGCUGGGACGCCAGACCCCCAGAUAAAUCGUAAAUAUACACUUCUACUUUGUGAUUUUCCAUGUUUUUGAAGAUAUACUAAAUUGUACGUUGCAACCCCUUUAAGUGGAGACGUCAAAAAUAAAACAGCGAAAAAACAGCUGACCUUGUCACGUUUUUUCGAGUUGACAAUUUUUAUCUCAACAAAGUUAUCUUGAAACUCGCACUAAAAAUAAAAAAUCGCCAAACCUACUAUUAAAAUUCAGUACACAUAUAAAACAUUAAUAGGCAAUCGAUAAUCUUUUGCACUGUCACCUGAAUGUCGAGUGUUUUCUAGAAGAAAUGAUAUGAGUAUUUUGCGCGACUUGGAUUCCCGCCAUAAUAACAAAAUUGGAAAUGAGCGUUUAGAAUGUAACAAAUUAAAUUGUCGCGGAAAUAUGGUAGUCGCAAACCCGCGUAUACCCACAUUUUCUAUUUUAAGAUUUUCACAAUCUAAACGCUGUAUAAUCUUACCUGUAUUCUACUUAUUUUUAGUUUUUCCGUAAACUGAAUUGGAAUAUUUCAUUCCGACGUUCAUAGUAGUAUAAGCAGUAAAUGUAUCAAUACAAAUUUUUUAUUAGAUUAAUAUUAGGUUACAUUGCAAUAAUUUUAUUUUAUUUGCAGAAUAGUAUUUUCAAUAAUGGAUUAUUAGCAUCUAUUCGAAAUUUGUAUUUUUAACAAUCGCGGGAAAAUUUUAAACACACCUUGCGCACUGUCAUCUUGGCAUGCGACAACAAACAUCAGCUGUUCGGAUUUGGAAUUGACAGAAGUGGGUAACCUUCCGUAGUAGGUACCUUAAACAUAUGUAUUAAAUAGUUUAAUAUAAAAUAGGAUAAAUAUAUAUUCCCCAAAAGAACAUUGUGAAACAGUAAUUUUAUAGAAGUGACAACCUUUCUAGAUUGAGUAAGGAAUUAAAGUAACUUUAACAGAUUUAUUGAGUGAGAGCUGUAAGUUUUGGGAAUUAUUGUUUUAUUAUUAAUUUUAUUAUUAUUAUAAUUUCGAUUGUUAAUAAAAUUAAUUGCCAAUGUUUUAUGGAUACGGAUAAUAAUAAAAACGUUUAUUUCAUUCAACCGGCCCAGAAUACACAUAUGAAUUAGAUUCCGAAUUAGAAUUUUGUAAUUUUCUAAGAAUACAGUAAAUUAUCAUCAAUGGAUUAAUGUUUAUAUUUGGUUGAGAUGAUUUACGUUAAUCGAAACUCUCAUUAAUUUAGUUCGUCGAAAAAAUAGAAAUUCACGUUUUAUAAUUAGAGCUUUUGACGUUAUUAAACCUAAAUUCGAUUUUUAAAAUUUGAUUUAACUCAAAAUCAUCUAGAGUUUUUCAAUACCUUGGAAACGCAUAUGUAUAAUGGUUUUGUCACUUUUCAUUCUACUGUGUUAAUUAUGUUUAUUUCAUUAUUCAUAUCUCUUAAUAUUUCAUUAGGUAUUUUUUACUGCAUCUGUAUAGCACACUUUUCAAUGUCCGUUACCUAAUUUUGGCAAAAGUAUAUUAAAGAAAUUUGAAUUGCAAAUACCUUAGAGCGAAAAAGUUGGCAUACGUCGAUUUCCAGAAAAAUUAGAUUUUAUAAAACAGUUUAUUAGUUAUUAUAAUACAUAACGAUUACAAUUUCAUGGAAUUUA